GCACCACCAGGAGUGGAGCCUGCGGCUUAA
rnacentral:ncRNA from 5 species